ACAGCACCAGUGUUUUCAAGUAAGUUAGUUCAGCCUCAGCCAACUGAACUCAAGAUUCACAUUUUAUGCUCUCCACAACUUGCCAGAGGCAAAAGCUCUGCAGCCUGGCUACUCAAUGGGGGCAGGGACCGAAAGGCAGCUCUCCUGCGGCUGAACGGGUGAGUCUCCGGGCUCUUAAGAUAUCCCAGGUCAAGCGUCAUGGACUCCACUUGCUUUAAACAUCAAAUUUGGGACCGCCUCCCCUUUCCUCUUCUUGUUAAAAUGGCUAGCCUUCCUUUACAAAUGACAACCUUUGCAAAUGUAUAUACAUACACUGAAAAUACAUGAAUAAUUAAUUCUAGAGGCCAAAGGAUGCUUUUUCCUUAUGAGAAAUUAUUCAAAGAAAGUGAUUUUAGAAAUAAUAUAACUAAAAAUGGAUUUGAAGUCAAUUUACUACUACUGGUUCUUAAACAUUGAGUUUCUUGUCUGAUUAAGUAGAGUUUACAUUUUCGAUUCCUGAACUUCAGAGCCUGAAGCUUAGUGAAAAAACUAAGUUCCUCAAUAUGGGAAAUUCUCUCUGGAUGCACUUUUAGACCGUUACUAUUUAUUCUUCUUUCAAAAAUACUUUGAUUCUCUCUAUAUAUAUUAUUAACAGACUACCCCAUUAAACCAUAUUUCAGAUACAUAUUUUAUAGUGCAAUUUGUUUCAUACCCAGUAUUUUGGGUAAGAUUUAGAGAGUCCGUUGUCAGUCAUACCCCCUCUGUAAGUGUUCAUAUAGCACAAUGAGACUCACGCUGAUAUUUGGGUUGUGAGAUAUUUCCCCUGGGUACUUUCGCAUCUUCGUAGUAGAAGAGACUGGUGAGCAUGGCGCAGGUGCCCUGCCUGGCACUCCCUGCACAGGGCUCACACCAUGCCUCCCUCAGUCCCUCUCACCAGUCAGAUUCAGGGGAGCUAGCGUGCAAUCCAAGGGCACAGACACUAGCACUGACGAGUUAAAGUUCUUCCUCUCAAGUAAUAAAAAAAAUAUAGGUAGAUAUACAUAGAGAUCUGCAGCUGUGCUAAUUACUUCAAAGAGCAGACACAAAGAAAAUAAACACUUGUUUCAUAAGUUUAAAGUCAUUUUAAGUUUGCUAUAUUAAAUUUAAAAAUUAAAAAAAUAUCAACUUACUAUAAACAAUUUAAAAUAUGUAUAAUAGAACUUCAUGGCGAAAGCGUGAACUGUCCAUGAACGGUUCACGAAAGCAGGACACACUCUGAUCUGACAUCUUUGCCUACGCUCUGUACAUGAUUUUCCCACCUGUCUUUUCCAUGAGAAACCAUAAGACAGUCUAAUUUUGUGGCUACCCAUUUUUAAAAGAGACUUCCUCAUCAUAGAGUAUGUAAUUACUUUACAGGGCUGAUAAAGAAGAAACAAACGGUAAGUAAGUGGCUCUCUCCCUGUCUGUCACUGUUGUCCCACAAAAGCAUUCUGUACAAAGUCACCUGAACUUUCUAAUCCAUUUACAAAUGCAUUCUCAAAAAGUGGAGUUUAGAGUCUAAAAGUGUUACUCUGUACACUGACUAUACAAUAUAUAUUGAAUGUAUACAUAUACACACACGUCUUAAAGAUAAGGUUCUCCGAAGGUUUUUCGGCAUUCCAUCACUCCAGUACUUGGUGGCCUGUCACAGUUAUGUGUACUCUUGACUUGACUCGGCGUGAGACGAUCAUAAGCCAUCUUGUAUUCUUUGUCAAAUGCAUCUGCAAAAUGGGGUUAAGAAAUACAACAAGAAAUUGAUGUCUGAUAUCGACCAGAGUCAAGUUGCUAUAAUAUAACAAAACCACAAGGUUAGGGGCCAAGAAUGCAUCUCCAGGGUGCUUCUGAGAUCCACAGGCUCAUGACUACAGAACCUGCAGAAGGGGAGCCUUCGAGUGCUAAGCAUGGGCUAGGUAGCAAAUAGCAAUUUUGAUCAAACAUCAGUGUUAACAACCACUGAAAACCACACACAUAUUUGCUGUAAUUUGCCCUUCAUGGGCAGUAACACGGUUUAAGAGUGGGCAAUGGAACAGUGCCUGUUACAGUGCAGUCAAGGACCUGGGGAGGCUAAGGCAAGAAGAUGGCGCAAGGCCAGCCUGGGCUUCAGUACAAGUUCAAGAAGAACCUGUGUCAAAAUAAGGAACGAGUGCUGGGAAAACGGCUCAUGGUGGAGCGCUUGCCCUUGUACUGUACCUGGCUGAAGCCCCUGGUUUAAUUCCUAACAUC
rnacentral:lncRNA from 1 species